rnacentral:rRNA from 1 species
AUGACUUCUCGCGGUGAGAUUCUUUCCAUCUAUAAGCGUUUUGCUGCCAUGGUUCACACUCAGUUCUCUUCGCCUAUUCGUGUGUUCCGUGCUGACUCCGCUGGCGAGUAUAUUUCCAAGAUGUUGCGUGGUGUUCUUGCUGAGCAAGGCACUCUUCCUCAGUUCUCUUUUCCUGGUGCUCAUGCUCAGAAUGGCGUGGCUGAGCGAAAGCAUCGCCACCUUCUUGAGACGGCUCGUGCGUUGAUGAUCGCCGCUUCUCUUCCACCUCAUUUUUGGGCCGAGGCUAUAUUCACCUCCACCUAUCUCAUCCUAUGUUGCAUGGAUACUUGGAUACGUAUCGGAUACGCGAUACGGGGAUACGCCCGAUACGUCAAUUUUCUAAAAACAUGGAUACGGGGAUACGUUUAUAUAUAG